UGGGGAGCAAACAGGAUUAGAUACCCUGGUAGUCCACGCCGUAAACGAUGUCGACUUGGAGGUUGUGCCCUUGAGGCGUGGCUUCCGGAGCUAACGCGUUAAGUCGACCGCCUGGGGAGUACGGCCGCAAGGUUAAAACUCAAAUGAAUUGACGGGGGCCCGCACAAGCGGUGGAGCAUGUGGUUUAAUUCGAUGCAACGCGAAGAACCUUACCUACUCUUGACAUCCAGAGAACUUUCCAGAGAUGGAUUGGUGCCUUCGGGAACUCUGAGACAGGUGCUGCAUGGCUGUCGUCAGCUCGUGUUGUGAAAUGUUGGGUUAGUCCCGCAACGAGCGCAACCCUUAUCCUUUGUUGCCAGCGGUCCGGCCGGGAACUCAAAGGAGACUGCCAGUGAUAAACUGGAGGAAGGUGGGGAUGACGUCAAGUCAUCAUGGCCCUUACGAGUAGGGCUACACACGUGCUACAAUGGCGCAUACAAAGAGAAGCGACCUCGCGAGAGCAAGCGGACCUCAUAAAGUGCGUCGUAGUCCGGAUUGGAGUCUGCAACUCGACUCCAUGAAGUCGGAAUCGCUAGUAAUCGUAGAUCAGAAUGCUACGGUGAAUACGUUCCCGGGCCUUGUACACACCGCCCGUCACACCAUGGGAGUGGGUUGCAAAAGAAGUAGGUAGCUUAACCUUCGGGAGGGCGCUUACCACUUUGUGAUUCAUGACUGGGG
rnacentral:rRNA from 1 species